rnacentral:rRNA from 1 species
UACAGAGGUGUCAAACGUUGCCCGGAAUUACUGGGCGUAAAGGGCGCGUAGGCGGCCUUAUAAGUCAUGUGUGAAAGCUCUGGGCUCAACCCAGGAAUUGCAUGUGAUACUGUAAGGCUCGAGUUCGGUAGAGGAGGGCGGAAUUCCAGGUGUAGCGGUGAAAUGCGUAGAUAUCUGGAGGAACACCCGUGGCGAAGGCGGCUCUCUGGUCCGAAACUGACGCUGAGGUGCGAAAGCUAGGGUAGCAAACAGG